GAUGAACGCUGGCGGCGUGCCUAAUACAUGCAAGUCGAGCGAACAGACGAGGAGCUUGCUCCUCUGACGUUAGCGGCGGACGGGUGAGUAACACGUGGAUAACCUACCUAUAAGACUGGGAUAACUUCGGGAAACCGGAGCUAAUACCGGAUAAUAUAUUGAACCGCAUGGUUCAAUAGUGAAAGACGGUUUUGCUAUCACUUAUAGAUGGAUCCGCGCCGCAUUAGCUAGUUGGUAAGGUAACGGCUUACCAAGGCAACGAUGCGUAGCCGACCUGAGAGGGUGUUCGGCCACACUGGAACUGAGACACGGUCCAGACUCCUACGGGAGGCAGCAGUAGGGAAUCUUCCGCAAUGGGCGAAAGCCUGACGGAGCAACGCCGCGUGAGUGAUGAAGGUCUUCGGAUCGUAAAACUCUGUUAUUAGGGAAGAACAAAUGUGUAAGUAACUAUGCACGUCUUGACGGUACCUAAUCAGAAAGCCACGGCUAACUACGUG
rnacentral:rRNA from 1 species